rnacentral:tRNA from 1 species
GCUGAAAUAGCUCAGUUGGUAGAGCAAUGCCCUCGUAACGCAUAGGUCGUAAGUUCAAGCCUUACUUUCAGCA